rnacentral:rRNA from 1 species
CAAGGAAUUUUGCGCAAUGGGCGAAAGCCUGACGCAGCAACGCCGCGUGGGGGAAGAAGGCCUUCGGGUUGUAAACUCCUUUUGCGAGGGAAGAAGAUCUGACGGUACCUCGCGAAUAAGCCACGGCUAACUACGUGCCAGCAGCCGCGGUAAUACGUAGGUGGCGAGCGUUGUCCGGAUUUACUGGGCGUAAAGCGCGCGCAGGCGGACUGAUUAGUCCGGGGUGAAAUCUCACGGCUCAACUGUGAGCGGUCCCCGGAUACUGUCAGUCUUGAGGUGUCUAGAGGAGAGCGGAAUUCCCGGUGUAGUGGUGGAAUGCGUAGAUAUCGGGAAGAACACCAGUGGCGAAAGCGGGCUCUCUGGGGACCACCUGACGCUGAGGCGCGAAAGCGUGGGGAGCGAACCGGAUUAGAUACCCGGGUAGUCCACGCCGUAAACGAUGAGCACUAGCUGUCGGGGGUAUCGGACCCCCUCGGUAGCGCAGCUAACGCGAUAAGUGC